GACGAACGCUGGCGGCGUGCUUAACACAUGCAAGUCGAACGGAAAGGCCCUGCUUUUGUGGGGUGCUCGAGUGGCGAACGGGUGAGUAACACGUGAGUAACCUGCCCUUGACUUUGGGAUAACUUCAGGAAACUGGGGCUAAUACCGGAUAGGAGCUCCUGCUGCAUGGUGGGGGUUGGAAAGUUUCGGCGGUUGGGGAUGGACUCGCGGCUUAUCAGCUUGUUGGUGGGGUAGUGGCUUACCAAGGCUUUGACGGGUAGCCGGCCUGAGAGGGUGACCGGCCACAUUGGGACUGAGAUACGGCCCAGACUCCUACGGGAGGCAGCAGUGGGGAAUAUUGCACAAUGGGCGGAGGCCUGAUGCAGCAACGCCGCGUGCGGGAUGACGGCCUUCGGGUUGUAAACCGCUUUCGCCUGUGACGAAGCGUGAGUGGCGGUAAUGGGUAAAGAAGCACCGGCUAACUACGUG
rnacentral:rRNA from 1 species